rnacentral:rRNA from 1 species
AGUGAACGCUGGCGGUAGGCCUAACACAUGCAAGUCGAACGGCAGCACAGUAAGAGCUUGCUCUUACGGGUGGCGAGUGGCGGACGGGUGAGGAAUACAUCGGAAUCUACUUUUUCGUGGGGGAUAACGUAGGGAAACUUACGCUAAUACCGCAUACGGCCUACGGGUGAAAGCAGGGGAUCUUCGGACCUUGCGCGAUUGAAUGAGCCGAUGUCGGAUUAGCUAGUUGGCGGGGUAAAGGCCCACCAAGGCGACGAUCCGUAGCUGGUCUGAGAGGAUGAUCAGCCACACUGGAACUGAGACACGGUCCAGACUCCUACGGGAGGCAGCAGUGGGGAAUAUUGGACAAUGGGCGCAAGCCUGAUCCAGCCAUACCGCGUGGGUGAAGAAGGCCUUCGGGUUGUAAAGCCCUUUUGUUGGGAAAGAAAUCCAGCCGGCUAAUACCUGGUUGGGAUGACGGUACCCAAAGAAUAGGCACCGGCUAACUUCGUG